GAGUUGAUCAGGCUCAGGAUGAACGCUGGCGGCGUGCCUAAUACAUGCAAGUCGAGCGAACAGACGAGGAGCUUGCUCCUCUGACGUUAGCGGCGGACGGGUGAGUAACACGUGGAUAACCUACCUAUAAGACUGGGAUAACUUCGGGAAACCGGAGCUAAUACCGAAUAAUAUAUUGAACCGCAUGGUUCAAUAGUGAAAAACGGUUUUGCUGUCACUUAUAGACGGAUCCGCGCCGCAUUAGCUAGUUGGUAGGGUAACGGGCUUACCAAGGCGACGAUGCGUAGCCGACCUGAGAGGGUGAUCGGCCACACUGGAACUGAGACACGGUCCAGACUCCUACGGGAGGCAGCAGUAGGGAAUCUUCCGCAAUGGGCGAAAGCCUGACGGAGCAACGCCGCGUGAGUGAUGAAGGUCUUCGGAUCGUAAAACUCUGUUAUUAGGGAAGACAAAUGUGUAAGUAACUAUGCACGUCUUGACGGUACCUAAUCAGAAAGCCACGGCUAACUACGUGCCAGCCGCCG
rnacentral:rRNA from 1 species